UAGAGAGUUUGUCCAGGCUUCUUUUUCACCGGAGCUUGCUCCACCGGAAAAAGAGGAGUGGCGAACGGGUGAGUAACACGUGGGUAACCUGCCCAUCAGAAGGGGAUAACACUUGGAAUCAGGUGCUAAUACCGUAUAACAAUCGAAACCGCAUGGUUUUGAUUUGAAAGGCGCUUUCGGGUGUCGCUGAUGGAUGGACCCGCGGUGCAUUAGCUAGUUGGUGAGGUAACGGCUCACCAAGGCCACGAUGCAUAGCCGACCUGAGAGGGUGAUCGGCCACAUUGGGACUGAGACACGGCCCAAACUCCUACGGGAGGCAGCAGUAGGGAAUCUUCGGCAAUGGACGAAAGUCUGACCGAGCAACGCCGCGUGAGUGAAGAAGGUAUUCGGAUCGUAAAACUCUGUUGUUAGAGGAGAACAAGGAUGAGAGUAACUGUUCAUCCCUUGACGGUAUCUAACCAGAAAGCCACGGCUAACUACGUGCCAGCAGCCGCGGUAAUAGGUAGGUGGCAAGCGUUGUCCGGAUUUAUUGGGCGUUAAGCGAGCGCAGGCGGUUUCUUAAGUCUGAUGUGAAAGCCCCCGGCUCAACCGGGGAGGGUCAUUGGAAACUGGGAGACUUGAGUGCAGAAGAGGAGAGUGGAAUUCCAUGUGUAGCGGUGAUAUGCGUAGAUAUAUGGAGGAACACCAGUGGCGAAGGCGGCUGUCUGGUCUCUAACUGACGCUGAUC
rnacentral:rRNA from 1 species